rnacentral:rRNA from 1 species
CUUCCGUAGGGUGAACCUGCGGAAGGAUCAUUACCGAGUUUUCGGGCUUCGGCUCGACUCUCCCACCCUUUGUGAACGUACCUCUGUUGUGCUUUGGCGGCUCCGGCCGCCAAAGGACCUCCAAACCCUCCAGUCAGUAAACGCAGACGUCUGAUAACCAAGUUAAUAAACUAAAACUUUCAACAACGGAUCUCUUGGUUCUGGCAUCGAUGAAGAACGCAGCGAAAUGCGAUAAGUAAUGUGAAUUGCAGAAUUCAGUGAAUCAUCGAAUCUUUGAACGCACAUUGCGCCCCUUGGUAUUCCGGGGGGCAUGCCUGUUCGAGCGUCAUUACAACCCUCAAGCUCUGCUUGGAAUUGGGCACCGUCCUCACUGCGGACGCGCCUCAAAGACCUCGGCGGUGGCUGUUCAGCCCUCAAGCGUAGUAGAAUACACCUCGCUUUGGAGUGGUUGGCGUCGCCCGCCGGACGAACCUUCUGAACUUUUCUCAAGGUGACCUCGGAUCAGGUAGG